GAGAAGAGCCGGGAAGAGAGAAAAGGCAGAGAAACCUCCUCAGCGGGAUCAUGUGUUAAAUGACAAGAAAUUCAGUUUUAAUUUCGAAUCUAUUCUCGUAACGUUUCGCCUUUAGUCUCAUACAUUUACGACUUUAAUAUAGUUAUUUUUCUAUUCUCAAUAUAGCCCUAAUACUGCACUGCAAUACAAAAAUGCAACAGAACAGGCAUAAAUAAAUAAAUUAAAUUAAAUUAAAAAAAAAAAAACGGUUGUGACGGCACGUGACGCCAGACGCCGAAAAUGUUUGCCAUGUGCUUUAAAAGCGGCAGGUGUACGACGUUAUUCCUAAUUAUCCACUCGACCUGGACGGCAUGGAGGUUUGAGCUAGAAAAGAUACGUCGGGAUUUGUGCGCACUGAGACCAGGUUGAAGUUGGCUAGCUUCAAAGUUACAUUUCUGAAACUGAAAGACAAGAUUGGCCAUCCUGAAGAUCUUCAACAUAUGUAGGUGGGUGGUGCAGGGGGAGCAGAGAUUCAGGCUUCACCUACUCUGUCCUGAUUGACUGAAUUUGGUAAGAUCAGUCAGUGAAACGGGUAAGAUUCCUCCCCCCAUAUUGGUCAGUACUGGAGCCGUAAGAGGACUACUGAUCUGGGCUGUAGGGUGAAGGUGGCCCAGGUGAACGGACACCUUGGAAGCAAAAUCUUCUCAGCCACUGGAUGUCUUUAGAAUUCUAUUCUCUAGGACCAGGAGUUGACCAAGUAUAAAGAAGUUGGAUCCUGGUUUAAGGGGCCUGAGCAACAGGAGUCCUCACUGUCACUGGAGAAGACCUUGGAUGACUGCUCUCGGGUCAAUUGUGCCUCUGGGUUCUCUCUCUGUUAGCACAGCAGACUGGGAAUUAAAUACAUCUGGAUAUGAACCCCAGAAAGCUGCAGUUGGCUCAAUAUAUUGGCUGGACCUUAGAUCCAGUUGACUUGAAACUAUGGUACUUGGACAGCCUUACAUCCUGGUCUGGAUCAGUCAUGACUGCAGCCAAGUUAAUCCGGACCUGCCUCCUUCCUCCAUGGAGUCUUAAGGAAUUGGGCCCCAAGGACACAGACCCACCACAGCUGACAGGAUUGUAAUCGCUGUAUAUGGAUUUUUAUUUUAUUUAUUUUUUCAUAAGGUUAACUGUUUACAAAUCAUGACAUUUUGUGGAUAUUUUAAGAUUUGGUCACUGAUGACUUUAACUACAUGCUUGAUCCCUGAUUUAAUUUUACUUUAGUUUACUGUCACUCAGAGUUCAAUGAACUGGAUUUCUUUCACACUACUACACACUACUACACUUCUGUACUUUCUCUUCUUCUUGGUGCUAUAAUAAAUCCAGUCAUGAAUUCUGAGUGCUGCACCAUGGAUGCUGUUUCCAAAAUCAGACCUGGAUCCCUCUGAUUUUGACCUCCAUCCAUGGUAUGACAUUAUCCUCUAGCAAUGCUUCCAACCAGUGAAUGUGGAGUUAUGAUCAAGUCUUUGUAGUAAUGUUAUCAGUGGCCAUGCUGAGUUGGUGUUUUUGUCUCUGUAGGCUGGCAGCAGCUUUUCAUUUAAUUUUUUUUGGGACUGGACCUCCAUUCCUUCUACUUUCAUUUAAUAUUUGAAAAUAAACUGCAUUGAAUUUAAUAUUAGUGUAAUUUGUUUUUUUCUCCAUUCUUCUAACUCCAAAGAAUUAAAAAAAAUAUUCAAACUAAAUGCCCAGACACUGACUGGUCAAGUUAGCUGUUGAAGAUGUAAAACUAUCUGAACCCUGUGCGGUUUUAAUAACAGAA